UACGUAGGGGCUAGCGUUAUCCGGAAUUACUGGGCGUAAAGGGUGCGUAGGUGGUUUCUUAAGUCAGAGGUGAAAGGCUACGGCUCAACCGUAGUAAGCCUUUGAAACUGGGGAACUUGAGUGCAGGAGAGGAGAGUGGAAUUCCUAGUGUAGCGGUGAAAUGCGUAGAUAUUAGGAGGAACACCAGUUGCGAAGGCGGCUCUCUGGACUGCAACUGACACUGAGGCACGAAAGCGUGGGGAGCAAACAGGAUUAGAUACCCCGGUAGUCCCUGAG
rnacentral:rRNA from 1 species